rnacentral:rRNA from 1 species
UUCGGAUGGAUUUCCUAUAUGACUGAGUGGCGGACGGGUGAGUAACGCGUGGGGAACCUGCCCUAUACAGGGGGAUAACAGCUGGAAACGGCUGCUAAUACCGCAUAAGCGCACAGAAUCGCAUGAUUCAGUGUGAAAAGCCCUGGCAGUAUAGGAUGGUCCCGCGUCUGAUUAGCUGGUUGGUGAGGUAACGGCUCACCAAGGCGACGAUCAGUAGCCGGCUUGAGAGAGUGAACGGCCACAUUGGGACUGAGACACGGCCCAAACUCCUACGGGAGGCAGCAGUGGGGAAUAUUGCACAAUGGGGGAAACCCUGAUGCAGCGACGCCGCGUGAGUGAAGAAGUAUUUCGGUAUGUAAAGCUCUAUCAGCAGGGAAGAAAACAGACGGUACCUGACUAAGAAGCCCCGGCUAACUACGUGCCAGCAGCCGCGGUAAUACGUAGGGGGCAAGCGUUAUCCGGAAUUACUGGGUGUAAAGGGUGCGUAGGUGGCAUGGUAAG